ACAAACACAAAUUCAUGUAAACUUUAAUCGCAAUGUGAUAAUAAAUUAUUUGCCAAGUGUGUUUAAUUUAAAAAAAAAGUUUUAGGUCACAUUUUUUUAUAUUAAAAUCUCUGAAAAAUAAAAUCAUGUGCUCUAAUGUCAGAAAUAAGAAUAAAACGGUUCCAAAUCAAGGAUCCUUAGCAAUAAUGCUAAAGCAAAUAGCAGUGGAUUUUAUGAAAUGUAUGAUUGUCCAGAUACAUUGGCUUUUUGACAUUAUUGUCGAUUUUUGCUUUAGUCUCUAUUAUGACAGUAAAGUGAGACGAGUACCUCCAGUAAAUGAUCAACUAUUACUGGAAAGUGGCGUCAGUUUAGCAAAGAAAAUUAGAGAAGGAACUGUAACAUCAGAAAAAGUAGUUCGCACCUUCAUUGAUAGAUGCAAAGAGGUGAAUGGUUUGUUAAAUGCAAUUGUUGUGGAAUGUUACGAGGAUGCAAUAAAAGAGGCACAGGAGGUGGAUAAAUUAUUAAAGACAGAUGUGGACCGAGAAAUACUGAAGAAAACAAAACCAUAUCUUGGUGUUCCAUUUACAACAAAAGAGAGCAAUGAAGCAAAAGGUAUGAAGCAUACAAUGGGAAUGAUGUGCAGACGUGACUAUGUUUCAACGGAAGAUGCAACGGUUGUGGAAUUAUUGAAACAAGCCGGAGGAAUAAUAAUUGCAAAAUCAAAUAUUCCCGAAAUGAAUUUAUGGAUUGAAUCGCGAAAUAAUGUUUAUGGACAAACAAAUAAUCCUUACAAUACAACGAGAACAGUUGGUGGAAGUAGUGGUGGCGAGGGUGCUAUUGUUGCCGCUUGUGGUACAGCAAUUUCAAUUGGUAGCGAUAUUGGUGGUUCGUCACGAAUUCCCGCUUUUUGCAAUGGGAUUUUUGGAUUUAAACCCAGUGAAGGAGUGACGUCUUGUAAAGGCAUUGGAAUGAGAAUGGAAAAUUCUAAAGACACAAUGGUUAGUGCUGGACCAAUAUGUAAAAAUGCCGAAGAUCUUGAGCCACUUUUACGAGUUUUAAUUGGUGAAAAUAUUUCCAUGUUGAGAUUAGACACGAGGGUUGACUUGAAGAAUUUAAAAGUUUUUUAUCAAGUUUCCUCGGGUGAUAUUCGAUCAAGUUUAGUCAGUAAAGAAGUAAGGUCUACAUUAAUGAAGGCUGUUCGACAUUUUGAACAACUCACUGGAUCUGCAACAAAGAUCAAAAUGCCGGGUUCUGAAUAUAGUUACCGCCUGUGGAGGUAUUGGAUGACACAGGAGAAGGGUGAUUUUCGCCAUCUAAUAACAAAUAGAAAGAGUGUUGCUAGUGCAAAAACAGAAGUGAUGAAAUUAGCGAGUUGCCAAUCGGAAUUAACAUUGGCAGCAAUUCUCAAAUUAGCCGAUAUGGACUUUUUACCACAGGAAAAUGGAGAUUGGGCACGAUAUAUAACUUUAAAUUUGCAAAAAUAUUUAUUAGAUAAACUUAAUGAUAAUGGAAUACUUCUCUAUCCAUCGUUACCAAAUGCUGUUCCCUAUCAUUAUGCAUCAUAUUUGAAACCAUUUAAUUUUGGUUAUUUUUGUCUCUUUAAUGCACUACGAUUUCCGGUUUGUCAAGUGCCAAUGGGAUUAGAUCGAAAUGGCCUGCCAACUGGAAUUCAGGUUGUUGCUGCUCCAUACAACGAUCAUCUUUGUCUUGCCGUAGCUAGAGAAUUGGAAAAAGUUUUUGGUGGAUGGGUCCCACCAUCAUAAAAAAUAUAAUUUUGUAAACUAUCAUAAAAAUAUGAUAGUUUUGCAAACUAUCAAAAAAAAAUAUGAUAGUUUCAAAAACUAUCAUAAAAAUAUGUUAAUUUUUGGAAUUUGUCUAUAGAUAUAUAAAAUGUAUAUAAAAAUAUAGCUGUUAGAGAAAAAUUGCAAACAAUUUAUAAGUACAGUGAGAAAUAGUGAAAAAAAAACAAAAGACUGCGUGCAAAAAAAGUCAAUUUUUUUUCUUGGAAAUUGACAAUUCCUUAUAAUAUUCCAAUUUUAGAAUUAAUAGAAUCUGAAAAAAAUACCAAAAUUAAGAAAAAAAUUUUAAAGUUUAAGAAAAAAUGAAUAAAUCAGGAUCAAAUUCGAACGUAAAUAAUAAUUCUCUAAAUAAUGAAAUUUCACGUUCCAAUGAUCAACCGCGAAAUUUCAUGAAGAUUAGUCAUUUAGUCGCUCAACGUCUACAAAAAGGACACGUACAAGAAGAAAAAAUUGAAGAUUCAAAUGACGAUGACGAUGAAGAAAAUUGGAUUAAUAAAUUAGCAGAAAUUGAUCGUAAUCACAGUAUUGAAAAAAAUCUCGAUAUUGCAGAAGCACAAAAAAUUUUAAAUUCUCUUUCCAGUUAUACUAAUGAAAAACUUGUUACAACUUGCCCUGUGGACAAGAAGAAGAUUAUAGAUUGCUACACUUUUAUGAAAGAUGACACAUUAAAAUGUGAACCCGAAGUAAAAGAAUUUAUCAAUUGUAUCGAUAAUUUAUUAUAUAAAGCAACUCACAUCAAUGAAAGGGACUCAAUAAGUGUUAUAUGUCCAAAAAAAAUGACUUACCGUGAAAGAUUUGAACGUACCUGUUUAAAUAAAUGAAAAAUUAUUCAAAAGUAAAAUAUAUGUAAAAUAUAGACAAAUAAUGAAUAAAAGUAAAAGAUUUGAAAAAUUAA